rnacentral:lncRNA from 1 species
CUCUCUCCACGUCGCCUCUCUUUCUCUCUCCCGAACCCCUCUGUUCUGCCCAUUUCCCCAGCAACUUCAUUUCUUUCAUUAGUGCUUCGACUGAAGCUGCUGCCAUCCACCAUCUUUUGUCUCCUCUUAUUUUUCCCCUCUGCCAGUGAACACGCCAGCUGCCCAACUUCACCGAAGCCCCCUGCUACAGUUUCCCUUUCAUUUUCCCUUGCAGCCGCCAGCGUCCCCAACCUGCAACUCCACUGCCGCUUGUCCCCCACCGUCAACGUUCCACGCGAUCGAAGCUGCUCCUUGCAGCUGCCACGGAGCCCAUCUCUACCGAAGUCCACUCCACGCAUCAACGACCCACACCAUCCUAAUUUCCAGCCCGCCAGCAGCCACGAAGUCAGCCUCGGCCCGCCUUGAGCAGCAACGGUUUUUCAGCCCGGGCAAGAAGUUGCGGGUCAUUUUUCGGCUCAGUUGGUGCCCCGUUGGCGUCGCCGCUUUGGGGUUUGUUGCUCGCCGUCACGUUGCCGUCGUCGUGGACCCACCGGCUCGCAAAUCCGAUGAGUUUACUCACUAAACCUUGCUUAGGAGGUUAAUUAUGCUUAAUGGACGUUUAGAUUAAGCUAAGUAUGGUUAGGUGGUUAGAUUAGUUUAGUUAAUUGUUAAUUAGAUUAAGGGAUGUUAUUAAAUUAGUGGAUAAUUAAUUAAGACUAAUUAGGUGAUUAAAUUAGUGUAAUCUUGAUUAGGCCCUUAAUUAAUUAUUUUGAAUUUAUAAAUAUUAUUUUAUUAAAUUAUAUUAAUAUAAUAUAUUAUUGAUUUAUUUAAUUUCGGAAUAUAUUUAAUUAUUUAUUAUUUUCCAGAAAUUAGAUCGAGAUAGCUGGUGACCGAAAUUUCAUGCUGAUUACAUUGGUGUGUUCAAAUUAUGCAAUUGAUUGUUGAAUUGUGCAAAUUGAGUGAUGAUUGUGAAAAUAUGAUAUUUAUUUAGAAAAUCUCGGAUGUCGGGUUUUGACAUCGAAAAAGGGUUUUUAAGUACUAUACCAAAUAGUGGGGUUUGAAAAGGAAAUGUAUCAAUUUUUCUAGUCCGAAUUGACCGUGUACCCAUACAUGACUAUUUUCCGAGAUGUUUUUAAUACAAAGAAAAUAGGCUAGGAUUACUAUUUUAAUUGAGGCAUUUGUAUGUAAUGCACAGUAUCCUGGGCCGAGAUUGAUUGGUUGUGUGUUGGUUAAGAGAACUCGUCCCUGAAUUAAGUCGGAUGGACGUUACCCUAUAUGGGUUACCCACUCAUUGGGUUUCGGGUCGCAAUAGAUUCUGGACCUAUGUUCUUUUGGGAAAGCCGUCUAUGAGAGACGUAGCCUUGCUCAAUAUGGAAGAGACGAUGCCUGGCUACGCCAAUAGACCGCCAAACAUGGGAGUCAGCAAUACCCUAGAGGGAUUUAAUUAACAAUUGGAACACAUGACUGAUUGAAUUUAAUGCGCCUAAUUAUAAGACAAAACUGUGUGGCAUGAUAUGGAAUGUGUCAUAAUUAUUUGGUCUUAUAAUCGGGACCCUUGUAAUUGAUUGAGUUGUUGAGGCGUUUCAAUUGUUAUAUACAUUAAUUGUAUGCAUUGUGUUAUGAACUGUGCUGACAUAUAGGAAAGAAUUGAGGCGAGGUAAGUCCUUUGUUCUAAUUGUGUAGCUGAGUGUGGCUAGAGCGCUCUGAUGGCAUAUUUCCUUCUUAAUAGGAGUUUAGGAGGUGGACUUGCUAAGAUAUUGUCUCAUCUCGUAGUUUGCUAAAUUAUCAGAUCCUUAGAUAGUGGUUGUGGAUGACCAGCAGCCCUAGAGUAUGUGGAGGUGGAGUCUGAAGGAUUGGUGUUUGUGUUGACUAGUGUGUCGUAGAACAGCUUCCUUUUGAGAGUCGACAAUUUUGUAAACUUUUGACCAGACUCAUUUUUGUAUCUAAACCCAUUGUUUAUAAAAGUUGACUUUUGUGAAA